rnacentral:misc_RNA from 1 species
GUAGAAUCUUCGGCUUCGCCCGAGGGUCGGGAUUUGGUUGCUGUUGUAAGGAGGCUGUGUAUCAUAUAUAAUGAACUUGGUUCCUAGAAAAUUUGAUCUUAGCUUUCCUAUAUAACCGUUGCUUGAUCUUGAAAUAUCGUCCGCAGCCAAUGAUAUAACAUACUCUGUAGAAGUAGUUCUCCUGGUCCUUUUUGCAGAAAGAAGAAAUUUCCCAUUUUCAACAAGUAA